CACAGCGUGACUCGUCUGCGUCAUUUCACAGAUCAUCAUGUAUUAAUUACACACAUGCUUUUCACACAGCAUGAUGUGAUCUCCCUUGAUGGAUUUGAGGGAGCCCAGGACCAUAAAUAGCCCACUCCAGUCAAAGGUAGUUUGAGGUCAACAGCUCAGAACAGGCAUAUGACACGCUGGAUCACAGCGCAAUGAGCUCCUGCUUCCAAGAGCACGGAUGGAGAAACAAAAUAAGAAUCUGCAACAGCAUUCUGGGACACACCAAGGAGCGCUUCUCCUUCACCGACCAUCUCGUCUGUGCAACCUUGUUGCAGGGGGACAGGUUUGAAGAACAUCACGGGUCAUUUCCUGAAGAGGCACUGCAACGCACUUUGAAGGCCUACCCGAUGCUGAAUGGAAGCAAGCUGAAGACAGAACUCGGUCUCAUCUACAGCAAAGUAGAGUUCAGAGCCUGCUGUGGUGCACUGGACCUAUUCUAGCUGUUCAUGGAGAACAAUCUUGAAGUUGUCUUUUCAGAAACUGUCAAUCUUUGAAGGAUCCUGAUCACCACACCCAUGACCACAGCUGAAGCAGAGAGGUGUUUCUCAACCUUGAAAAGAGUGAAAACUUUUCUCAGAAACACCAUGACCCAGGAAAGGCUGAAUGCCUUGGCCAUGCUCUCCAUGGAAAAGAGACUUGUUUGUGAAAUGACAGAUUUCAAUCAGAAAGUCAUUGAUAAAUUUGCUGGCCUGAAGGAGAGGAGAGCAAAAUUUAUGUUCAAGUAAUUGUUUUGUUGUGUUGUAAUGCCCGUCUGCUAGUGCACCCCCCCAAAAUAUUUUAUCACCAGCUGCCACUGCUCAUAACAUAACAUUAAUUCUUUAAGGUUUUAUCUGGUAACAUGAUUGGACAGUGAUGUGAAUCUGGAAGCUUUAAAUAAUAAGGUUUUGAUUUGAGAUGAAUAGCGUUUGAUUAAUACUUAAAUCACAUACACCCUACUUUCUUGACUCCUUCAGGUAUCAGGUAUUUUCAAGUUGUAAAAGGCUCAAGACUGAAUGACAUCAAAAGCCAUUGAUUUUCAGGUCCAAAUCAAAGUGUCAGUGUUUUUUGAUCGUUGAAUUGAGUUUGAUUCACGUUAUCAAUUUUGUGAACGGAUUCUGACUUGAGCUCAAGUCAUGCAGACAUUUGUAAUGACUGAUCACCAUUAAAACAAGAAAAGCACUCAAA